UUCCCCGCUUCUCCACUUCCCGACUUCAUUUGGACUUAAUUUGGCGUGCAUUUCACCGUCAUUUCAUUUCACUGCCAUUCCGCCCUCCCCCUCUGUCUUCGUUUUUUAAAUUCGCCCUAAAUUUCUCUGCAUUUCAAUUUCAAUUUCAGUUCUCACUUUCUCUCGCUCUAUGAAUAUUCUUCCUAUGUUUCCUCGGUUCUGCAGAUGGAGAUGGAAACUCUGAGCCUCGUUUUUGCCUAAUAUCGCUUUCUUCUUCCGAUUCAGUGUUUGGAUUUUGUCAUUUUUCGUUUCGAUUGACACGAAACAUCUUCCCCUUCCCGUUAUUUUUCAUCGGGUUUGGAAUUCGAUCUUCACUUCAUCCUCUCGCAAUCGAUCUUGUUCCAUUGCUCAAGCUUUUCUGGAAUAUUCUCUCGUUUUUUUUUUACUUUAUGGGUUGAGUACUAUACUUUCCUGCGGCUGUUGUUUGAACUUCAACUUUUCUUUUUGAUGUCUAAGUUCAUAUGCUCCAGAGCUAACCGAAGCAUGUGCCGUGGUCCAGAGAAAUCAGAAUCUCUAUCAACUCCAUCUUCAUCUGCUGUAGAAGGUUCAACUAGAGCCGAAGACAUGAAAGAUCUAACUGUUUGUCCUGAAGAUUCUUUUUCCUGCCUACUCGAGCUUGCUUCUAACAAUGAUUUUGAAGAUUUCAAGCUAGCUUUAGAUAGCGAUAUUUCUCUAAUAAACGAAGUUGGCCUCUGGUAUGUCCGUCAGAUUGGAUCCAAACAAAUUGUUUUGGAGCACCGAACUCCUUUAAUGGUUGCUGCAAUGUAUGGGAGUGUGGAUGUUCUAAAACUUAUACUGUCGUGUCCCGAGGUUGAUGUCAAUUUCUCCUGCGGGACAGAUAGAAGCACUGCCCUUCAUUGUGCUGCAUCAAGUGGUUCUUUAAAUGCAGUUGAUGUUGUGAAAUUGCUCUUGUCAUCUGGUGCUGACGUCAGAUGCGUGGAUGGUAAUGGAAAUCGUCCUGUUGAUGUUAUUGUUGUUCCUCCUAAGCUCAAAGGUCUUAAAGCAUCUCUUGAAGAUCUACUUUCAGAUAGUGGUUGUGAUGGGUCUGUUGGUGACUGUUUUAUUCCACUAGCAGUUAAUUCGUCAUGUUCUGAUUCAGCGACUCAUUUUUUAUCACCUGAAAAUGGGUUGCCAUCCUCUCCUAUGGCGUCCAAGUUUACUGAUACUACUGUUAAUUCUGCCUCCGAGAAGAAAGAAUAUCCAACUGACCCAUCACUUCCUGAUAUAAAGAACAGCAUAUAUGCCACAGAUGAGUUUCGCAUGUUUUCAUUCAAGGUGCGACCUUGUUCCCGUGCAUACUCUCAUGAUUGGACUGAAUGUCCUUUUGUUCAUCCUGGAGAGAAUGCUCGUAGGAGAGACCCCAGAAAAUUCCAUUAUAGUUGUGUGCCAUGCCCUGAGUUUAGAAAGGGGGCUUGUAGACGCGGGGACAUGUGUGAAUAUGCUCAUGGAGUAUUUGAGUGUUGGCUACACCCUGCCCAAUAUCGGACAAGGCUGUGCAAAGAUGGUGUUAGUUGUAAUAGAAGGGUUUGUUUUUUUGCCCACACAGCAGAAGAGCUGCGUCCAUUGUACGUGUCCACUGGAUCCGCUGUUCCUUCACCCCGUUCUUCUGCUUCUACUCCUAAUGUCAUGGACAUGGCUGCUGCAAUGAGCCUCUUUCCUGGUUCACCAUCGUCACUUUCUGGCAUGUCUCCAUCUCCCUUCGCUCAGCAAAUGUCUCCAUCAGGUGGCAUUCUUCACUCAUCUUCUGCUUGGCCGCAGCCAAAUGUUCCAGCUCUUCAUUUACCAGGAAGCAAUAUUCAAACUAGUCGACUAAGGUCUUCUCUUAAUGCUCGUGACAUGCCACCUGAAGACUUGGAUGUGUUGCAAGAUUUUGAUGGUCAGCAACAUCUGUUGAAUGACCUGAGCUGUUUCUCUCAGCCCCGUCCCGGUGCCAUUUCAGUUAAACGAUCUGGUCGGUCUAAGACACUAACUCCAUCAAACCUUGAUGAUCUAUUUUCUGCUGAAAUUUCAUCUCCUAGGUAUUCUGACCCAGCAGCGGCUUGUGUAUUUUCCCCAACACACAAAUCAGCUGUUUUUAACCAGUUUCAACAACUUCAAAGUUCCUUAUCACCCAUAAAUACGAGUGUUUCGUCUCCUAGGAAUGUUGAGCAUACUCUUUUACAGGCUUCAUUUGGUGUCUCUUCCCCGGGAAGGAUGUCACCGAGAAGUUUGGAACCAAUCUCUCCAAUGAGCGCCCGAUUAUCUGCACUUGCGCAGCGUGACAAGCAGCAGCUGCGGAGUCUUAGUUCAAGGGAUCUUGGUGCCCACAAUCCUGUCUCGAUUGUUGGGUCCCCAGGUAACUCCUGGUCUAAUUGGGGUUCUCCUCAUGGGAAUGGAAAGGUAGAUUGGUCGAUAAAUGGAAAUGAGCUAGGUCGAUUGCAAAGGUCAUCCUCAUUUGAGCUUGGAAACAACGGGGAGGAGCCUGAUCUGUCCUGGGUUCAAUCCCUCGUGAAGGAAUCGCCAUCCGAGAUUAAAGAGAAGUUGGCAGGUUCUGGUGGCCCUGUUGUAUCUGCAGAUGGGCAGAAUUCCAAUCCUCAAGUUGAGUCUAUUGAUCACUCUGUUCUAGGAGCAUGGCUUGAGCAAAUGCAGCUGGAUCAGCUUGUAGUCUAAUCAAAUUGACCCAUUCCAACUUGUGAUAGGAUAUGGGACAGUUGCAGGUUGACGUGAAGAUCGCAUUGAUUAUUGUGUUGAUGGGGACCAAGGUUAGCUUGGAUGAUAUAUUUUGAACAAACACUUGAAAAGACAAACGAUAGAUGGACAGAUCAAUUGAAUGGCAAAUUCAGAUGCGUCUACCUUUUACGAGCUGAGUACACAACUUGUAAUUUUAUUUUACCAUAUUUUGCUUUGUGGGGGGUCCGAACCAAGUUAAUGGGUGUCGAUUUCAAACUUCAAAAUCUCAUAAUGCGACUUUUCUUACCUUGUUCACAGGAACAGAGUAAAACGCAGGACCGUGUACUGUAAAUCGGUGAUUUUCUCUGGCUGAGGAUCAGGAGGACAUGGGAAGUGGACCCACCCACAUUAGGUAUUGGGUGAAAAGGAUGCAGAAAUAUACCGGGAGUCCUAUUCUGAUUAAGUGCACAACAAGAACACUUUUGGAGAAGAUUCCAGCUCCAAAGUAUAAACCAACUCCAACUGCAAGAGAGAGUCCAACUCCUAAAACAAAACUCAUCUGAAGCGUUCUUGUUGCAGCAGCAAUCACCUUUUCAUAAUCUUUCUCAGCAAAGGAACAAGCUAGAAUUGCCUGAGAUAUGGUGAAAGUGAUUACUGAUACUCAUUUGAUCAACAAGUUAUACAAAGACUUUCUCUUUUUGCUCAACAGCUAAGCCAUCAGCAAGAAGGGAAGAUGUCAGCCACACCUGCAAGCAGGUUUGGAAAGCAGCCAUAGGAAUUGGGCCAAAUCUUGCUGCCAAUGAGGCUGCCAGGGUUUGGCAGAAUGUCACAGCCACAACUCUUGCCAACAGAAGACCUCCUAUUGAAAUUGAAGAUGAACUUUAGCAUGAGUUUGGUAACUAAUUAAACUAGAAUUAUAUGUUUUUUGUUCUUGUUUCUAACAGAGGAGAGUGAGAUUUCAGUUAUAGUACACUUACCAUUUUUAAGAAACCUGAAAAUCUGCAAGUCCUUGAUGCUUGGAGGUACAAGAUCCACUUUUCUAGUUAAUAUCAACAAGAGGGCGAAUGCCAUCACAUACCUAAUCAGAAAGGGUCGACAUUUUGUAAGUUCAUGUUUGUUUUGCUAAAUGAAUUGCUUGAACACUACAAGGAUGAAAACCAAGUAAGACUUACUGAGAGAGCACAUGUGAAAUGGCUGCACCUUUGAUGCCCAUUUUGCAGUAGAAGAUAAGAACUGGAUCCAAAGCCACAUUCAAUGCAUACCCCGAGACUAAAACCACACACACAGACGAAUCUCGUCAAGGAAAAUUUUGACUAAUAUGCAUUUUGAACUUUUGAUGCUUUUACUUUGUCUCUACUAAUACUAUACUGAAUCAUUUGAACCUACCAAUAACAUAUAAAGGAGUUGUAGUGUCCUUGAAUCCUCGAAAGAUUCCUUGCAUGGCCAAGGAGAGAAGAACUGCAGGAGCACCUAAAGCUCUCAGUCUCAAGUAUUUAACAGCUGGAUUUAGCAUAGGAGAAUCCUACACAAAGAGAAUUAGCUUCACUUCAGUAAAAGAUUAGAAAAAUGCCUUAGAAAAUCAAGAUUUCUUAGAUAUAACUCAUAUAUGAGUACAUACAGGUUUCAGACCCAUUGCAGCUAAUAGAGGUUUGGCUGCAAAUAUAAGGGUUGCAGCUUGAAGAAGACCAAGGAUGGUGCCAAAAAGUAGCGCUGUUGAUGCAGAAGCAACGUGUCGCUUCUUCCUUCCAGGUUUUGACACACUCUUGUUACUACUACUGCUGCCAGCAGAGGUAGAUUUGCUUACACUAGUAUUGCAAUCUGAUAGGAAAUUGGUUAUUGUUAAACUAAAAUGGGAGAACGCAAACUUUCAUAUUCAUAUACAUAAUCUUUAUAUAUCAUAAUGAAUUUCCUAUUCGAAGCUAUAAAAUGUGUGAUGUGUAUUAGUGUAUACACAAAAAUAGAAAGGCAAAACCAGAAAGGGACAGAAAGUACCAUCCAUUUCCACAUUCUCACUCGUUGAAGAUGAAGAUUCUGUUGGAGUCUCAUUGUGUUCCUUGGAUGCUCCUUUCUCUAUAUCUUGAAUCAACUGAUCCUCGGGCCUUACCUCCUUGGACUUGGCCUUAAUGUUUUCAGUCAAAUUCUUUUCUUUAUUCAUUUUUUCGAUGGUAUUUUCCUCAGCCACAAAGGAAGUUGUGAUGCUAACCAAAGGGAAGAUGGUAAUUCUUGAAGCUUGGUUGAACAAAGCGAUGGACACUCCUGCUGCAGCAAGCUCCACGGGCCCUAAACACAUGAACAAUGAAAAGUCAGUGUAAAAGUUGUAACUAUGUAGGGACCAAAUGAUAUAUAAAACCUUCCAAUUAUGGCUACACUACAACUCUUGCAACUGCUAUUAGUGUGUGGGAAAAAGUUGCCAAGCCAAAGCACAAAACCUGAUUAGUGCAAUUUACAUGUGUGUGUGUCUGUCUUUUUGUGCAAACAUCACAUAAUGAGAAGGAAAUUGAUGUACCCAAGUGGCCAAUGAAUGCUGUGUCUAUGAGAGAAGCAAUAGGAUCAGCAGCAACAGCCAGUGCAGAUGGGAAUGCAAUCCCAAGUAUCUCCUUAGCAAUGGAGUCCAUCUUGAAAACAUGUCUGCAUAUGUUGUUGAACCAAGUAUUAGUAUUUUGCAGUAACAUAUUUUGUUUCUUGAAUGAUGUUUGUCCUCCAAGGAACAAGGGUGAUUGAUGAGCUGAUAAAAUAUAAGGGUACCUUGCAUCUUUGAAGAAAA